rnacentral:misc_RNA from 1 species
AAAAAAAAAAAAAAAACAUGUAUGUCUUUUCUCACUCUUUAAAUUUCUGUUGAGUGAUUAAACAAAUGAAGGAAAAUUUUGUUAUGUGUUUAUAAAUAUUUUUCCUUUUUCAUAUUUUUUUGCCGUGUAGAAGGCUGAUGCAGGGAAAAAAGGAAGAAAAUAAUUGCAAUUUUCCUUAUAUGUGGCCAUACCUAAUUAAUGGAUAGAACUAAUGGUGUUAAUUUAACAAGGUUUCAGGACUUGAUAAAAGGAAAAAAAGGAUCUGGACUUUAUUGAUAAUAAGUGUACAGUAUAAGGACUUUUGACGUAGUUAAUUCUCUUGUUGUAAAAUUGUGUGUUUAGAAGAAACCUUUCAUUAUUUUUUUUUUCUCUUUAUUAUACUUGUUGUCUCAGCUCUUUUAAUUUUGUUAGGUCUGAGGCUAAACUUGUGAAAGAAGUUGUGGAACAUAUUUUGAGGAAAUUGAAUCAUGCAUCCUCAGGAGAUUCAAAGGGUCUGAUUGGAAUAGACUCGCACAUUAGACUGAUUAAAAAUUUGUUAUGCAUUGGGUUGACAAGUGUUCGUAUUGUAGGAAUUUGGGG